UGGGGAAUAUUGGACAAUGGGGGCAACCCUGAUCCAGCAAUGCCGCGUGUGUGAAGAAGGUCUUCGGAUUGUAAAGCACUUUCGACGGGGACGAUGAUGACGGUACCCGUAGAAGAAGCCCCGGCUAACUUCGUGCCAGCAGCCGCGGUAAUACGAAGGGGGCUAGCGUUGCUCGGAAUGACUGGGCGUAAAGGGCGUGUAGGCGGUUUACACAGUCAGAUGUGAAAUCCCCGGGCUUAACCUGGGAGCUGCAUUUGAUACGUGUAGACUAGAGUGUGAGAGAGGGUUGUGGAAUUCCCAGUGUAGAGGUGAAAUUCGUAGAUAUUGGGAAGAACACCGGUGGCGAAGGCGGCAACCUGGCUCAUUACUGACGCUGAGGCGCGAAAGCGUGGGGAGCAAACAGGAUUAGAUACCCUGGUAGUCCACGCCUGUAAACGAUGUGUGCUAGAUGUUGGGUAACUUUGUU
rnacentral:rRNA from 1 species